rnacentral:lncRNA from 1 species
UUGGCAAUUGCAACUCAUUUUCAUUGGUGGUGUUUUCAUGUGCACAGCAAAAAAUUGCACAGUGUGACCAUGGCUUUAUUAAAGUUUUAGAUCACUUGGAAUGUAGUGACUUUGAAAUUCAGAUAUCAAAUGACAAGUAAUAGGCUGAAUAGAUAACAUGUAUCAUAAACUAUUGUAUUAUAGAUACAUAAUUAUACCCUUCUAUAAUUCCAACUCUACUUCCUUGUCAUAGAGGGAGGCAACAGGGAGUAGGGAUCUUGGUUUUGAGCUCCUUUCCUGACUAAAGGAGCCCUUGUGUGAGAUAUGCUGAUCGUUGAUUGGUACUGGAGUAGUGAAAUAUGUAGUAUUAUGAACAAUCUCUUCAAGGCACUAGAUGAAAACUCAUCAUAUUUAACCUUCACUUUAUUGGAGGAUAAUCAUGUAGUGAUCAUUUUCUUCCUCCCAAAUUUUUAGACCUGUAUGGUUUUUAAAAAUAAAUCUUUGGAUUGCUUUGAGUAAUCCAUCUGUUUGGACUAAAAGGGAAAGUAAUGUCCCAGUAGCUGAAAGCCUCUGGUAUCAUAUUUUCUAAUUAGCUAUCUUUAGGCUAUUUGCUAGCAUCUCUGAUGACAGUAGGAAGAUUAUAUCUGUAGUAUUCUUCCAGUUGAGGAUGAUAAACCUAAAAUAGAACACCACCUUCAGCCAAAGAUUUUUAUUCUCUAUUGAGGUGGAUCUGAGGACCUUUAAGGUAUUCUUCUAAUACUGAGCUUGCAUAACAGAUAUCUUAAGUGUCAGUUCCUGUAAAAGGAAUAAGAUUGGUCAGGUUUGUUGGCAAUGAUUGGGAUUCUGAUGUAAUGGGCCUUCAGAUAUACCACUUAAGGGCACUUGAAGGUGUCAUGGGUCUGAUAUUGCAAAUCAUCCAUCACUCUAGAGCUGCCUCUGUCCUAUUUGGUUGGUUGCUCAUGAGAGUCUAUCAUGACAUUGCUCUUAAAAUGAGUCUUGGCAUUAUAAGUACCAAAUAUAAGGAUUUAACUGUAAGGAGGGUCAAGUUAUUUAUUUACUUUUAUUUCUGAAAAUGACCCUUGGACUUAUAUCUUUUCUAGCGAUCCCAUAUGAGUGAAACAAUUAUGUUAUUUUUAUACCAGUGAUUAACAAGAUUAUGGAUGAAACUUUGAGAUAAUUUUGGAAAUAGAGAACUUACUGUUUCUUCUGCAUAUUUUUUAUGAUAAGGACAAACUUCUGCCAAUAGCAGUUUUUAUGCAUUUGGUGGAGUUCUCUCAACAGAAUCAGUUUGAUUUACUUGUUGGUGUUGAUGCUAAUUCUAAUAGGGUUUCUCAUUUUGAGGAAGCAGGAACAUCAGAGAGGUAAGCACUUAUUGGAAUUCCUAAUAGAUACUAACUUUUUGUUUUAAAUAAAGGCAUUGAACCUACCUUUUAAAAAUAGUUAUUAAAAACAGAAGAGAAGUCAUUGAUCUAACAUUAGGAACAAAAACAUUUUUGAUCUAACUGAGGAUUGGCAUAUUCUAAUAGCAGACUGUUCAUUAUGUUACAUGCCAUUUACAUUUAGAAUAGGUUUUGCUUAGUGGUAGAUUUAGAGAUGACUGUUGACCAGAUUCAACAGGCAAUUUUCUUUUAUCUUACC